rnacentral:rRNA from 1 species
CUGGCGGCGUGCUUAACACAUGCAAGUCGAGUGCGCGUCUGUAGCAAUACAGAUGGCGCACGGCGCACGGGUGCGUAACACGUGGGUAAUCUGCCCUUCGAAGGGGAAUAACUCGCCGAAAGGCGAGCUAAUUCCGCAUAACAUUCCGAGAACCUUGGUUUUUGGAUUCAAAGGCGUAAGUCGUCGGAGGAGGAGCCCGCGCACGAUUAGCUAGUUGGUAGGGUAACGGCCUACCAAGGCUAUGAUCGUUAGCUGGUCUGAGAGGAUGGCCAGCCACACUGGAACUGAGACACGGUCCAGACUCCUACGGGAGGCAGCAGUGGGGAAUCUUGCACAAUGGGCGAAAGCCUGAUGCAUCGACGCCGCGUGGGGGAUGAAGCUUCUCGGAGUGUUAACCCCUUUCGACCCGGACGAAUGCCCCGCAAGGGGACUGACGGUACGGGUAUAAGAAGCCCCGGCUAACU